rnacentral:rRNA from 1 species
UACAUGUGGGGCAAGCGUUGUUCGGAAUUACUGGGCGUAAAGCGCACGUAGGCGGCUUUGUAAGUUAGAGGUGAAAGCCCAGGGCUUAACCCUGGAAUUGCCUUUAAGACUGCAUCGCUAGAAUCGUGGAGAGGUGAGUGGAAUUCCGAGUGUAGAGGUGAAAUUCGUAGAUAUUCGGAAGAACACCAGUGGCGAAGGCGACUCACUGGACACGUAUUGACGCUGAGGUGCGAAAGCGUGGGGAGCAAACAGG